GGUCUUGUAGUGUAGUGGUUAUCACUUUGGAUUCUGAUUCCAACAACCCCAGUUCGAAUCCGGGCUAGACCU
rfam:Pichia membranifaciens DNA, contig: CON152, strain: KS47-1.